rnacentral:rRNA from 1 species
GACGAACGCUGGCGGCGUGCUUAACACAUGCAAGUCGAACGAAGAGCGAUGGAAGCUUGCUUCUAUCAAUCUUAGUGGCGAACGGGUGAGUAACGCGUAAUCAACCUGCCCUUCAGAGGGGGACAACAGUUGGAAACGACUGCUAAUACCGCAUACGAUCUGACCUCGGCAUCGAGGAUAGAUGAAGGGUGGCCUCUACAUGUAAGCUAUCACUGAAGGAGGGGAUUGCGUCUGAUUAGCUAGUUGGAGGGGUAACGGCCCACCAAGGCGAUGAUCAGUAGCCGGUCUGAGAGGAUGAACGGCCACAUUGGGACUGAGACACGGCCCAGACUCCUACGGGAGGCAGCAGUGGGGAAUCUUCCGCAAUGGACGAAAGUCUGACGGAGCAACGCCGCGUGAGUGAUGACGGCCUUCGGGUUGUAAAGCUCUGUUAAUCGGGACGAAAGGCCUUUUUGCGAAUAGGGAGAAGGAUUGACGGUACCGGAAUAGAAAGCCACGGCUAACUACGUG